GAUGAACGCUGGCGGCGUGCCUAAUACAUGCAAGUCGAGCGAACAGACGAGGAGCUUGCUCCUCUGACGUUAGCGGCGGACGGGUGAGUAACACGUGGAUAACCUACCUAUAAGACUGGGAUAACUUCGGGAAACCGGAGCUAAUACCGGAUAAUAUAUUGAACCGCAUGGUUCAAUAGUGAAAGACGGUUUUGCUGUCACUUAUAGAUGGAUCCGCGCCGCAUUAGCUAGUUGGUAAGGUAACGGCUUACCAAGGCAACGAUGCGUAGCCGACCUGAGAGGGUGAUCGGCCACACUGGAACUGAGACACGGUCCAGACUCCUACGGGAGGCAGCAGUAGGGAAUCUUCCGCAAUGGGCGAAAGCCUGACGGAGCAACGCCGCGUGAGUGAUGAAGGUCUUCGGAUCGUUAAACUCUGUUAUUAGGGAAGAACAAAUGUGUAAGUAACUAUGCACGUCUUGACGGUACCUAAGCAGAAAGCCACGGCUAACUACGU
rnacentral:rRNA from 1 species